CAGGCAUAGGACUGAAGCCUGACCAGUGGAGAUGGACAGAUUGAGGAUUUGGUAGAACAUAUUUUACAGCAUCACCUUAAAAAUACAGUUGUGAAAUUCCUAGUAAGACUAAAGAUAAAGGCAGGUUCCUCUGAUGCACCCAUCCUUGUCUUCAGCGCACAUGAUAAUAUGGGGCAUCAGGUACAAUGGCUGGCAGAAUACCCCAGCAGAAAAUCUCCACUCCCAUCAUAUAAGCAACUGCUUACUCUACCUACUUAACAGUCACAUAUAUUCUUACAUGUCUGAAACUAAAAGAUAAACCAUCAUAAAUUCAUAGUCAGAAGAAGAAGAAGAAGAAGAAGAAGAAGAAGAAGAAGAGAGAUCAAAGUUCUCUACCUGUCUCCUCUAUGUGAGGACAUGACAAGAAAGUGGCCGUGAGAAAUUCAGAAAGAGAGUUCUCACUGGUAAAUCAAAUCAGUUGGGACUUUGGUCUUGGAUUUUCCAGAACUAUGAGAA